AACCCGUUAGCUUGAGGAAAAAGCACCCGACCCAUAAUCGGAUUUUUCACUGGUUCGAAUCCAGUACGGUGUU
rnacentral:tRNA from 1 species